CUCUGCUACUUCUGGGGCACUUGGAAGUGGGUGGAAUUCUUUCUUGCUGACAGCAGGAAGAGGAAAUGUUUCUCAUUCCACCAUUAUGCAAUCAUCCAUCUAGCAGACAGUUACAGUGUGGGGGAAUGCUUGCCCAAGGUAAGCAGGGCAGCAGGAAUGUCCCUGUAAGGAGGCCUCCCUCACACAGCUCCGGCUCAUGUCUCCAUGGAAACAAGUGCGUAUCUGAGCUCCUUACACAGGGCUGCCGGCCUGUGAGGUGAAAAAUUCUAACCCGUGAAAAAAUCGGACCGUUUUCACCGCACACCGGCUGCAUCACCUGAAGUCUACACAGCACAACGCCAAAGUUGAAGUCUAAGUAUUCCACAGCGAUAACUUUUCCUUUAUCUUUACUAGACAAAAACAUAUAUUUAAAAAAAAAGCUCUACCUAUUAUUGUUAAUUUCAUACACUCCAAUAUGACAAAGUCCUAAAGCCUAAUUUCUUUCAUUGUUUCUAAUUUUUUAUUUUUUUUUAUGUUAUAUUCAGCAGUUCCUUAGUUUUUUUUUUUAUUUCUGGAAAAGCUGGAGGACUACCAAUAUGACCACCAACACAGCUCCUAAGGACAUGGUUUCCUAACCAAGAGGGGGACGUCACUCGUCAUCACAGAGAGCCAGCGUUGCUGUCGCGCACCACCACUACCGCCGCCGCUGGCAUAAAUAGGGUUUUGAGGAUGAGGAUCUACUGACAAAUUAAGGAACCAAUGAUGUCCAGGUGUCAGACUCUGCAGAGAAGAUGGAAGAAAUCCUGGUGUCUGGACCAGAGGAAGAAGAAAAGUAAAGACAACAGAGAAGACGUCACUCAGGUGAGUUGCAGCAAGGUCAAGUCCUGCUAGAGUGUGUCUGGAGUCCAGAGGAGGCUUCAAGUCUGUCAAACAGCCACGGAUUCUCAAGUCCAUUGCCCCACAGGUCAAGUCAAAGCCUGGUAAGCUACAGAAGGGGUGAAGUCAGUCAGUCUGUCAUAGUCAAGUCAGUCCAAGUCAUCCUGUCUCAAGUCAGCGUGGCCUGCAUCCAAAUUGUCCAAGUCCACUAUGAGUCCCAGCAAGCCCUAAGGUCUCUGAAGUCACUGGCCACCUCCGUGGGCCUAGCCAAGCUGUAUAGACUGUUACACCUUUCUUACUCAGUAAAGCUGCC